rnacentral:rRNA from 1 species
UACAGAGGUCUCAAGCGUUGUUCGGAAUCACUGGGCGUAAAGGGUGCGUAGGCCGCACGGUAAGUCAGAGGUGAAAUCCCGGAGCUCAACUUCGGAAUUGCCUCCGAUACUGCCGUGCUUGAGGACUGGAGAGGAGAUUGGAAUUCACAGUGGAGCAGUGAAAUGCGUAGAUAUUGUGAGGAACACUAGUGGCGAAGGCGGGUCUCUGGGCCGAUACUGACGCUGAGGAGCGAAAGCGUGGGGAGCGAACAGG